rnacentral:misc_RNA from 1 species
GAAAUGCGAUAAGUAGUGUGAAUUGCAGAAUUCAGUGAAUCAUCGAAUCUUUGAACGCACAUUGCGCCCCUUGGUAUUCCAUGGGGCAUGCCUGUUCGAGCGUCAUUUGUACCCUCAAGCUCUGCUUGGUGUUGGGUGUUUGUCCCGUCUCCGCGCGUGGACUCGCCCCAAAGUGAUUGGCAGCCGGCGUACUGGUCCCGGAGCGCAGCACAUGUCGCGCAAACGAGUGCCUUGGUACGGCGGCGUCCAUAAGCCCCUCUCUCACGCUCUUGACCUCGGAUCAGGUAGGGAGACCCGCUGAACUUAAGC